ACCCCUGUGAGGAUGCCCCCAAAUUUCCCGCCCGAAAACGAGGAGCCGGUAUCAGGCGCGCAUCAGCUGCAGCCCAAGACGCCUUGCUAAGCCACACCCCCAAGGGACAUCAGCAGUGAUAGACAUUAAGCAAUGAGUGAAAACUCGACUUAGUUACGGUUAAACCAGGGCCGGUCAAUCUCGUGCCAGCCGCCGCGGUUAUACGAGCAGGCCCAAGUUGACAGACUCCGGCGUAAAGAGUGGUUACGGAUACAAACCACUAAAGUUAAACACCCCCCUCACUGUGAUACGCGCCCGGGGGUUGGAGGCUCCGCUACGAAAGUGACUUUAAUACCCCUCCCGAACCCACGACAGCCAGGGAACAAACUGGGAUUAGAUACCCCACUAUGCCUGGCCCCAAACUUUGAUUUUCGUAUACGUACAUUAUCCGCCCGGGUACUACAAGCGCCAGCUUAAAACCCAAAGGACUUGGCGGUGCUUCAGACCCACCUAGAGGAGCCUGUUCUGGAAUCGAUAAUCCCCGUUCAACCUCACCAUCUCUGGCCAACAUCC
rnacentral:rRNA from 1 species